rnacentral:tRNA from 1 species
GACUUAAAAUCCGUCGACUUUUUAAAUCGUGAGG